CGGGACGGGUGAGUAACGCGUGGGUAACCUACCCUGUACACACGGAUAACAUACCGAAAGGUAUGCUAAUACGGGAUAAUAUAUUUGAGAGGCAUCUCUUGAAUAUCAAAGGUGAGCCAGUACAGGAUGGACCCGCGUCUGAUUAGCUAGUUGGUAAGGUAACGGCUUACCAAGGCGACGAUCAGUAGCCGACCUGAGAGGGUGAUCGGCCACAUUGGGACUGAGACACGGCCCAG
rnacentral:rRNA from 1 species